rnacentral:rRNA from 1 species
AUUGAACGCUGGCGGAAUGCUUUACACAUGCAAGUCGAGCGGCAGCGCGGGGGCAACCCUGGCGGCGAGCGGCGAACGGGUGAGUAACAUAUCGGAACGUACCCAGUCGUGGGGGAUAACUAUCCGAAAGGAUAGCUAAUACCGCAUACGUCCUGAGGGAGAAAGCGGGGGAUCGCAAGACCUCGCGCGAUUGGAGCGGCCGAUAUCGGAUUAGCUAGUUGGUGGGGUAAAGGCUCACCAAGGCGACGAUCCGUAGCGGGUCUGAGAGGACGACCCGCCACACUGGAACUGAGACACGGUCCAGACUCCUACGGGAGGCAGCAGGUGGGGUAAUUUUGGACAAUGGGGGGCAACCCUGAUCCGGCCAUUCCGCGUGAGUGAAGAAGGCCUUCGGGUUGUAAAGCUCUUUCAGCAGGAACGAAACGGUGGUCCCUAAUACGGACUACUAAUGACGGUACCUGAAGAAGAAGCACCGGCUAACUACGUG